GAUGAACGCUGGCGGCGUGCCUAAUACAUGCAAGUCGAGCGAACAGAUGAGGAGCUUGCUCCUCUGACGUUAGCGGCGGACGGGUGAGUAACACGUGGAUAACCUACCUAUAAGACUGGGAUAACUUCGGGAAACCGGAGCUAAUACCGGAUAAUAUAUUGAACCGCAUGGUUCAAUAGUGAAAGACGGUUUUGCUGUCACUUAUAGAUGGAUCCGCGCCGCAUUAGCUAGUUGGUAGGGUAACGGCUUACCAAGGCAACGAUGCGUAGCCGACCUGAGAGGGUGAUCGGCCACACUGGAACUGAGACACGGUCCAGACUCCUACGGGAGGCAGCAGUAGGGAAUCUUCCGCAAUGGGCGAAAGCCUGACGGAGCAACGCCGCGUGAGUGAUGAGGGUCUUCGGAUCGUAAAACUCUGUUAUUAGGGAAGAACAAAUGUGUAAGUAACUAUGCACGUCUUGACGGUACCUAAUCAGAAAGCCACGGCUAACUACGUG
rnacentral:rRNA from 1 species